rnacentral:rRNA from 1 species
AUACGGAGGGUGCGAGCGUUAAUCGGAAUUACUGGGCGUAAAGCGUACGUAGGCGGUUGGUUAAGUUAGAUGUGAAAGCCCCGGGCUUAACCUGGGAACUGCAUUUAAAACUGGCGUACUAGAGUUUAGUAGAGGGGAGUGGAAUUUCAGGUGUAGCGGUGAAAUGCGUAGAGAUCUGAAGGAACACCAGUGGCGAAGGCGACUCCCUGGACUAAAACUGACGCUGAGGUACGAAAGCGUGGGUAGCAAACAGGAUUAGAAACCCCGGUAGUCC